GUUAAAUUUGGAUUUAAAAUUAUAACCUUAUUUACUAACUUAUGGCAUGUUACAGGUGGAUUUUGAAAACUUGUCUUGACAACCAGAAGUUGAACUGAAAAAAUUAGGUCCCCAAUACAUUCAAUAUGGUACAACAACAAUAUUCCCUACCAAUCAGCACAAACUAUACACGUGCUACUUAAAUAGGUACUAAAUUAUACACAAUUUUGCCAUUGAAUAGUCGCAAACUUCCAAAUGGAAAUCACCAGCUUCAAAUGCCAUUUAUUGCGUUUUUCAAAUUCCCACCAAACAAUGACAUUAGGCCACCACCAUGGACCCUUCCCUCAGGAAUCAUGCAAUCAAAGCUGGUUAUCCUACCAUUGCUGCCAAAGCCACCAGCAGCAUAGCCAGUUCUACCUUCCUCUAGCUUCUCAGCACUAAGGAGACUUGAAUAAGAUGGUGAUGACUUCAUGGAUGGAGGAACCAAUACCAGUGGUGGUAUGAGAUGCUGCCUUUUCAUUGGCUUUUCGAAAGAAUCAGUGCACUCAGAGAUGGCACUAAUUCCAGAUGAAGAAUAAUUGUUGUCAAUGCUGGCUCCUGUAUUUGAUGCGGUAGUUACAAGGCCAUGGAAGAGCCCUGGUGCAAUCAAGCUGCCCUUGUUCGUACCCUGCUCCAGGACCAUGCUGCUAUGUGCAGCACAAAGACCACUCUUACCCCUUGCAAAUUUCUCACAUUUUCCUUCUCCCCAAAUGCAUCGCUUACCGCCACCAUGGGCCUUGCAGAAAUCUGUGCUACCUUGUGCACUCUUCCCACAAUUUUCAAACUUGCACCGCUUCCCUCCCCCAUGCCUAACACAGCAAUCAGUACGGCCACGAGCACUCUUUGUGCAGCCUGGCACGACACACCUCUUUCCACCACCAUGUGCAACACAAAAAUUCGUGCCUCCAUGGACACUUUUUGGACAGAUUCCACCACCAUCAAAAAGGCAACGUUUUCCCCCACCAUGUCCUUUGCACAGUGGAGUACUUCCUUCAGCACCUUUGGUGCAUCCAGCAAAUAUGCAACGCUUUCCUCCACCAUGGGCCUUGCAAAAAAUAGUACUCCCCUGAGCACCCUUUGCGCAUCCUGGAUAUUGGCAGCGUCGACCACCCCCAUGAGAAAUACACAAGCCAGCCUGUCCUUCAGCACUACGAGUGCAGCCUUCAACCUUACACCUCUUCCCCCCACCAUGUUUAAUGCAAAGCCCUGACUUGCCUCGUGCAGCCUUGGUGCACCCUCCUGGAAACCCACAUCUUCUGCCACCCCCAUGAGCUAUGCAAAAAUCUGUCUUCCCCUCAGCACUUUUAGUGCAACCCAAUUGUUGACACCUCCUUCCUCCACCAUGGGCCUUACAAUAUGCAGUUCGGCUCUCAGCCCCUUUGUUGCAACCUGGCUUUUGGCAUCUCUGUCCGCCUCCAUGCCCAAUACAGAGACCAGAUGCCCCCCGUGCUCCUUUUAAACAACCUAAAAACUUGCACUUUUUUGGG
rnacentral:misc_RNA from 1 species